AAAGCGAGCGUAGGUGGCUUGAUAAGUCAGAUGUGAAAGCCCCGGGCUUAACCUGGGAACGGCAUCUGAUACUGUUAGGCUAGAGUAGGUGAGAGGAAGGUAGAAUUCCAGGUGUAGCGGUGAGAUGCGUAGAGAUCUGGAGGAAUACCGAUGGCGAAGGCAGCCUUCUGGCAUCAUACUGACACUGAGGUUCGAAAGCGUGGGUAGCAAACAGGAUUAGAUACCCUGGUAGUCCACGCCGUAAACGAUGUCUACUAGUCGUUGGGUCCCUUGAGGACUUAGUGACGCAGCUAACGCAAUAAGUAGACCGCCUGGGGAGUACGGCCGCAAGGUUAAAACUCAAAUGAAUUGACGGGGGCCCGCACAAGCGGUGGAGCAUGUGGUUUAAUUCGAUGCAACGCGAAGAACCUUACCUGGUCUUGACAUAUCUAGAAUCCUGCAGAGAUGCGGGAGUGCCUUCGGGAAUUAGAAUACAGGUGCUGCAUGGCUGUCGUCAGCUCGUGUCGUGAGAUGUUGGGUUAAGUCCCGCAACGAGCGCAACCCUUGUCCUUAGUUACCAGCGGUUUGGCCGGGAACUCUAGGGAUACUGCCAGUGACAAACUGGAGGAAGGCGGGGACGACGUCAAGUCAUCAUGGCCCUUACGACCAGGGCUACACACGUGCUACAAUGGUAGGUACAGAGGGCAGCUACACAGCGAUGUGAUGCGAAUCUCAAAAAGCCUAUCGUAGUCCAGAUUGGAGUCUGCAACUCGACUCCAUGAAGUAGGAAUCGCUAGUAAUCGCGGAUCAGAUGCCGCG
rnacentral:rRNA from 1 species